rnacentral:rRNA from 1 species
GUGCCAGCCGCCGCGGUAGUACGGAGGGUGCAAGCGUUGUCCGGAAUCACUGGGUGUAAAGGGUGUGCAGGCGGGGCAACAAGUCGGAGGUGAAAGCCCAUGGCUCAACCAUGGAAGUGCCUUCGACACUGUUGCUCUUGAGUCCCGGAGAGGUUGUCGGAAAUCGUGGUGUAGCGGUGAAAUGCGUAGAUAUCACGAGGAACACCAGAGGCGAAAGCGGACAACUGGGCGGGUACUGACGCUCAGGCACGAAAGCGAGGGGAGCAAACAGGAUUAGAUACCCUGGUAGUCC